rnacentral:rRNA from 1 species
AGCGGAAACGAACCUAGCUUGCUAGGAGGCGUCGAGCGGCGGACGGGUGAGUAAUGCAUAGGAAUCUGCCCGGUAGUGGGGGAUAACUUGGGGAAACUCAAGCUAAUACCGCAUACGCCCUACGGGGGAAAGCAGGGGAUCUUCGGACCUUGCGCUAUCGGAUGAGCCUAUGUCGGAUUAGCUAGUUGGUGAGGUAAUGGCUCACCAAGGCAACGAUCCGUAGCUGGUCUGAGAGGAUGAUCAGCCACACUGGGACUGAGACACGGCCCAGACUCCUACGGGAGGCAGCAGUGGGGAAUAUUGGACAAUGGGCGAAAGCCUGAUCCAGCCAUGCCGCGUGUGUGAAGAAGGCUUUCGGGUUGUAAAGCACUUUCAGCGAGGAAGAAGGCUUGGCGGCUAAUACCCGCCAGGAAGGACAUCACUCGCAGAAGAAGCACCGGCUAACUCCGUGCCAGCAGCCGCGGUAAUACGGAGGGUGCAAGCGUUAAUCGGAAUUACUGGGCGUAAAGCGCGCGUAGGUGGCUUGAUAAGCCGGUUGUGAAAGCCCCGGGCUCAACCUGGGAACUGCAUCCGGAACUGUUAGGCUAGAGUGCAGGAGAGGAAGGUAGAAUUCCCGGUGUAGCGGUGAAAUGCGUAGAGAUCGGGAGGAAUACCAGUGGCGAAGGCGGCCUUCUGGACUGACACUGACACUGAGGUGCGAAAGCGUGGGUAGCAAACAGGAUUAGAUACCCUGGUAGUCCACGCCGUAAACGAUGUCGACUAGCCGUUGGGAGCCUUGAGUUCUUAGUGGCGCAGCUAACGCAAUAAGUCGACCGCCUGGGGAGUACGGCCGCAAGGUUAAAACUCAAAUGAAUUGACGGGGGCCCGCACAAGCGGUGGAGCAUGUGGUUUAAUUCGAUGCAACGCGAAGAACCUUACCUACUCUUGACAUCGUGCGAACUUUCCAGAGAUGGAUUGGUGCCUUCGGGAGCGCACAGACAGGUGCUGCAUGGCUGUCGUCAGCUCGUGUUGUGAAAUGUUGGGUUAAGUCCCGUAACGAGCGCAACCCCUAUCCUUAUUUGCCAGC